rnacentral:rRNA from 1 species
AGUGAACGCUGGCGGUAGGCCUAACACAUGCAAGUCGAACGGCAGCACAGUAAGAGCUUGCUCUUACGGGUGGCGAGUGGCGGACGGGUGAGGAAUACAUCGGACUCUACUUUUUCGUGGGGGAUAACGUAGGGAAACUUACGCUAAUACCGCAUACGCCCUACGGGUGAAAGCAGAGGAUCUUCGGACCUUGCGCGAUUGAAUGAGCCGAUGUCGGAGUAGCUAGUUGGCGGGGUAAAGGCCCACCCAGGCGACGAUCCGUAGCUGGUGUGAGAGGAUGGUCAGCCACACGGGAACUGAGACACGGUCCAGACUCCUACGAGAGGCAGCAGUGGGGAAUAUUGGACAAUGGGCGCAAGCCUGAUCCAGCCAGACCGCGUGGGUGAAGAAGGCCUUCGGGUUGUAAAGCCCUUUUGUUGGGAAAGAAAAGCAGCAGGCUAAUACCCCGCUGUUCUGACGGUACCCAAAGAAUAAGCACCGGCUAACUUCGUG